CAGUAGCCGCGGGAAUACAGAGGAUGCAAGCGUUAUCCGGAAUGAUUGGGCGUAAAGCGUCUGUAGGUGGCUUUUCAAGUCCGCCGUAAAAUCCCCGGGCUCAACCCUGGACAGGCAGUGGAAACUACCAAGCUGGAGUACGGUAGGGGCAGAGGGAAUUUCCGGUGGAGAGGUGAAAUGCGUUGAGAUUGGAAAGAACACCAACGGUGAAAGCGCUCUGCUGGGCCGACACUGACACUGAGAGACGAAAUCUAGGGGAGCAAAUGGGAUUAGAUACCCGCGUAGUCCCUGUCUCUUAUAC
rnacentral:rRNA from 1 species